CAGGAGUAGACAUGCUUUAUGAUGUAUAAGCCAUUCUAUUGCUGUUACUGGCUGCUGGUGGUAGUGGUGGGUGCUACUUGUCAGCCACACCAAAUUGGAUGGUGGUGUCCUACACUAAUCAUGGGGGGCAAUUUGCAGAAGACAGGUAACUGGAGCAGAUCCCUGGAAGAGUUAAACCCGAAGGAAGAAGCCUGCAUACCAGAGAAUGCCAACAAUCAACUGCCAGCCGAAACAUCUGAACAGCCAGGCCCAGAUGCCAACAGACAAAGAGAAAUGGAGUGCUCCAGUCACCUAACAGUCAGGAAGAAUAACAAAGACAAACUAGUGAAAGAUGAUAAAACACUUAGGAAGAAACCAGGAAGAAACACCUUUCAGUUGCCACCCGCCUGCCCAAGAAACUAUAAGAGAACAGUAAGACCAACAAUAUUUUUAUGUUCUCACAAGACAAAUAAUGCAAAGAAUAAAACCCACCAUAGCCAAAACAAAAAACGUUGGGAUAUGAAACCAUUCCAAGUGACCUCCUGUGGAUCGAGAAAGUGUGAAGCCUGGGUUAGAAACUUAGAACAAGCUACAGCAGUUUUAGAAUUAAAUGUGGAGAAAAGAAAAGACAUUUGAGAUCACAUCUAGAGCCAACAAGUUGUGUGCCAGUUGGCAGUUGAAAUAAAACAUUCAAGAUGUGGGAAAAAAUAAAUUAUAGUGGUAUAGAAAAGUAGAACUAAUAGGUUCUCCUCUAGGAUUCAUAACCUUACCUGCUAUUGCCCUUGUCUUCCCCCAAGAACUUGAAGUUGUUACUGUGAACCCUGUAUUUAGUUAUUCUCAUAUUACAAGAAAAUAACCACUUUAAAACAGAAGGGAUGAUGCCUGUGUACAUUUACUCAGGCAAAUCUUGUGUUUUCAGGAAUCUACAGAUUUCAAAUGGUGUCACAUUCCCCAAAUCAUUUUACAAGCAGAAAUAUUGUUUAAGCAGCUACACAGACAUCCCUGAUGCCAGUCAAUUGACACUUGAAAUGAGGAGACUUCCAAUCCACCAAUAAUCAUACUGAAAUAAUCAUUAUGCUGCCCCUGGUGUAUCUGUGGUUUUACUGUAACACAGCAAUCAUCAUUGCAGUUCAAGGUACAUUGUUUGGUAGGCAGAGGCAUUUAUACCUUCAAGAAGAACUCUUCAUUCUCCUCUUUAAAGUCUGAUGAAAGCUUGUUCUGGAAAACCUUCAAAAUCAGGAAAUAAAGCUUCAUAUGCUAUCCUCAUUGCUUGAUUGGCUUCCAUGAGUGAAUUCUCAAGACAACUGGGUCAAAGCAUAUCAGUAUACUUCCUGAGGCUCAGGAAUCUCUUUUGGUAAUCUGGAGCACUGAAGAGUUGCAGACUUACUGAAUGUAGGACUGCUCAAUCCCUUUAGAAGAAAUGGUGCAGUAGACAGGAGAAUAGCAUGACUAGCCUUCGAGAGGCCAGACAAGCAGCUGAGAGAUCCAGAUGCUGAUAUUUACACUCAACCAAUGGAGAGAAGCCGAGGACUCCUGUCGUUGAAUUAGGCAAAGGAUGGAAAAAGCUGAGAAGGAGGGCAACCCCAUAAGAAGACCAGCAGUCUCAACUAACCUGAACCACCGAUAUCUCUCAGACACUGAGCCACCAACCAGGUAGCCUACACAAGCUUAUAAGAGGCUGCUGAUACAUAUACAGCAGUCUCUGUGAGAGAAGAAGCACCUAAGUCUUGAGAGACAUAAGGCCCUAGGGAAGGGGAAGGAAUGAUGGGGGGGGGAGAGUGGGGACAUCCUCUUGGAGUAGAGGUAGGAGCAAUGGGAUGAGUAACGGUCACAGGGUGGACAUCGAGUGGGAUAAUGACUGGACAAAAAAAACCAAAAAGAUUAAAUAAUAAUAACAAUAAUAAAAAGAUUUGAGUAUUAUAAAGGGUAUUAAUGUUUUGGAAUGUCUAAAGAGGGUGGUAUUUUUUCAAGUUACUUAUGUUUUAAAUAUGAGGUCUUGGGGAUGAGUAAGAAAGGAAGGGUCAUAGGUUAAUAUCAACAAGUUUAUAUGUCAAGUUGACAAGGAGUCCUUUGGAUUGGAUGGUUUUGUGUGCCACCAUUA
rnacentral:lncRNA from 1 species